UGAUAUCCAGGCCGUAGUGGAAAGCUGAAUAGAGAAGAAAACCGAAGGCGUGUUUGUGCCAGCAGUCAGAAAGCACCUGUUCUGCUUGAUGGUCGAUCUUAACAUACCAGGACUCGGCCGCAUUGGCUCCCAGCCAGCGCUGGACUAAGGCCACUGGUGUGACCGCCAGAAACACACCCUUAUGUUUGUCAAGGCAUCCAUGGUGCCCCCUGGUGGUGGGAGGACUCACGUCUGUGUCCACUUACAGAGUCAGUUCAACCUCAUCACAAGUACCUUCACUGAUACAGCCCAGGCGGAUCUACAGUACCAUGAAACUACAGGGGUUUAAGGAGGAGGGUCUGCUGAGAGCUCACCCAGAGCCCCCUGAUAACAAAACACCAUCACCAGACUGGAUCCACGAGAGCCGCAGACUGAGAGCCUGUCAGUGAUGGCCACCAGGUGGAAGUCCCCAAGAUGUACGGCAAGCAGGACUUCAGACAAGUUUCCUGUCCAACCGCAAAGCAGUGAGGGACUGGAACAACCGAGACCUGCUCACAGACGCGUCCUCCACUGAGUCACCGGUUUUGGGGGACUCCUCCACUGGGACCCUGCUGCAGCUGGCUGAGGCCUCUGGGAUGACCAAGCACAUCCAUGCUCCCCAUCGCCAAGAGCAUGAUUGAAGAGGGCGUCAGAAAUGGUGCAACACCAAUUGCUCUAUCCUUCUUCCUUCUCUUCUGUCUCUGA